GUUGUGGUGGCUCAGUGGUUAAGGCUUUGUGUUACACACCAGAAGGUUGUGUGUUCAAAUCCCAGCACUAACA